UGGGCAACCUGCCCUCAGCUCUGGGAUAACCCCGGGAAACCGGGGCUAAUACCGGAUACGACCUCCACGGGCAUCUGCGGAGGUGGAAAGUUUUUGCGGCUGAGGAUGGGCCCGCGGCCUAUCAGCUUGUUGGUGGGGCGACGGCCCACCAAGGCGACGACGGGUAGCCGGCCUGAGAGGGCGACCGGCCACACUGGGACUGAGACACGGCCCAGACUCCGUACGGGAGGCA
rnacentral:rRNA from 1 species